rnacentral:rRNA from 1 species
UACAGAGGGGGCAAGCGUUGUUCGGAAUUACUGGGCGUAAAGGGCGCGUAGGCGGCCUUCUAAGUCGAACGUGAAAUCCCCGGGCUCAACCGGGGAACUGCGUCCGAUACUGGUGGGCUUGAAUCCGGGAGAGGGAUGCGGAAUUCCAGGUGUAGCGGUGAAAUGCGUAGAUAUCUGGAGGAACACCGGUGGCGAAGGCGGCAUCCUGGACCGGCAUUGACGCUGAGGCGCGGAAAGCCAGGGGAGCAAACAGGG